UACGUAGGGUGCAAGCGUUAAUCGGAAUUACUGGGCGUAAAGCGCGCGUAGGUGGUUAGUUAAGUUGGAUGUGAAAUCCCCGGGCUCAACCUGGGAACUGCAUUCAAAACUGACUGACUAGAGUAUGGUAGAGGGUGGUGGAAUUUCCUGUGUAGCGGUGAAAUGCGUAGAUAUAGGAAGGAACACCAGUGGCGAAGGCGACCACCUGGACUGAUACUGACACUGAGGUGCGAAAGCGUGGGGAGCAAAUAGG
rnacentral:rRNA from 1 species